UACAGGAGGCCCGAGCGUUAGUCGGAAUCACUGGGCUUAAAGGGUGCGUAUGCGGACCGGCAAGUAUCCUGUGAAAUACCUCGGCUCAACCGAGGAACUGCGGGGUAAACUGCCGGUCUUGAGGUCGGUAAGGGUCGCUGGAACGCUCGGUGGAGCGGUGAAAUGCGUAGAGAUCGAGCGGAACGCCGAAGGUGAAGACAAGCGACUGGGCCGAAUCUGACGCUGAGGCACGAAAGCGUGGGGAGCAAACAGG
rnacentral:rRNA from 1 species